CUGAACGCCUCUAAGUCAGAAA
rnacentral:misc_RNA from 44 species